GUCCGCCAGUGCUAAUGCGUGCACUGAGUCGUGCAAUCAAAGUCCCCCUCUCUGCACAGCCCACUCUACUUGGUGCCAUCACCAUUUGAGUGUGGUUACAAGUAGUGCUUGGUGAAUGUAAAUUGCAUGCAGAAGUGGACACAGGCAGGGUGAACGCCUAUUCCCUAUUUACAUGCCUUUGAGCUGUAGCUGGUUAGUCUGUCAGCCGUGGAGCAUUCAUUACAUGUAUACCUAAUUCAGCUCCAAGACAUACUAGCUGUUUGUGUACAUGUACUUCGAGCACUGCUAUUUAGCCCAUAUUCCCGUAUUGACUCUCAGAUGAAAAUACCUCUGUGAAUGUAUAGAUUUUGAGCUAACCUGGAGAUUUUUGCCUCACUCGUGUAAAGCUGAAUAGCACUGACUCAACGAGUUUGUGUACAAAAUAAUUUUGAUCAUUUACAAUUCCUUGGAGCCUGGAGAAGAGUGAAAGUGCUGGAACUGUCAUUGACAGGAAAUAGGAUUCUAUCUGUCAUAACUCAGGAUUAUAUUACUGGAGUAAGACUAAAGAUACAGGGUAAAGGUUUCUUCAUUCACCCUGGGACUUCAUGUAACAGCUAAAGGGUAAGGUUGGACAGCACGUCACGCUACCAAGAUGCCCGCCAAAAGGCGGAGCAUGCUCUGCUGCCUGGGUGGCGCAGAUGAAACGCCAGAGAUCGUGGUGGACAACAACAUGAUCCUACAGACCAUCAAGGAGGAGGAUCCCAUGCCACCCCUAGACGAACUCAAUGCAAAGUUUGAGGAACUUGUGGAAGAGUUAGAUCUCGUUGCCCAGCACAAGGAACGCAUGUUCAGCCUGUCACCCGAAAAGAAAUGGCAAAUUUACUGUAGCAAGAAAAGGGUAAGCUUUAAAUACCUUAUCUCUUCAAAGUAAGGAUAAUAUUAGAGUCUUAUAAAUCAGCAGGAGAAUGUAGUACAAAUCUGGGGGCUUGAUCAUAGGUUGAUUUUCACAAGUGAUCACAUUGGCCAAGUUUUGCAAUCACGUCGAUAAUUUAUAUGAUCUAUGGCUUGUAUAAAUGUUACAGGGCGUAGGAGAGCAUGGCUGAUGCUCUUGUAAAAAUUGUAUUAUGUUGGAAGCAAGAGUAUUUUGUCUGGUGAAAAAAAAAAUUGGGUUUGUGUUUAUAAUGACUCACAGAAAUACCUUGACAGUACAUGCACAGGGAAGGAAAUCCAAAAUGGGUAAUUUGGUUGUGUUGAUAAUGCCAUUCUACAAUUACACCCUGGAGCUGGCCAAAAUCAGGUUACAAGCGUUUAUUCCGUUGAUCAUGCAGUGUGGCGCUAUGCAUGAGCUUGUAUCUAAUUUUACAACACAAAGUAGCCCAUUCUCUCUUUAUUUGUAAGCCCCGGAGUAGCCAUAUGAAGGGUAAAGCUUGCGAUUCAAGUUCUGCGGAAACGUUUGGCGAAGUCGUCUGAAAGUGCACCGCCAUUGUGACGAUUGUAUCGGAGAGGUAAUCCAAUAUGGGGGCAAAUCCCGUAGCCGGAGGGGGACGAUGAAACUACACUUCCCAGCAUGCCACAUUUUAUCCCACAAUCCAAUCAGUCAAUCAUUUCCACUUCAGAAGCCCCUGAAGACAUCUCAGGAGUCCAUUGCAGAACCAAUAAAAAGGGGUUUACUAGAGACAAGGUGAAAACGUCCCAUGUUCCAUCUUCCAAUAUUGCAGUCAAGGAGAUGAUGAACAUCUUGGCUUUGAAUGGUUCAAAGUUUGAUUCCAGUUUUAUUACAGAGGAGCAGUAUUGGGAAACUUAAUGUUUUGUUCUGAUAGUGUUGCAUUUGUCUGUGUUUGAUCAUCAUACCUUGAUUGAAGAUAGAGACAUUCCAAUAUCUACCUUCAGUUGGACUAUACUACUCAACGAAGUCCAUUUCCGGCCAAUGAUAGUUUUGAUAUUGCAAAGGUUACAAUUUAUUUCCCAUUUGAGUUAGAAAUUCAUUAUUGCUUAUUGAAGCAGCUGUCCUUGCUUUUUACUGACGCAGCAAAAUUUAAGGUCAUUUAUAAAAAAAUGCAAAACUGAUGAUUGUAUUUAAAUUGUUGUUUGAUGAUCAUAUAUUACAUGAAAAAGCAUUGAUCUUUUGCCCUCUAAAUCAUUUUUAUUUCUGACAUCUUUAUGAAUCAAAUUGUACUUUAUUUUGUUUAUUUUUUUCAUUGGCAAUAGUAAAAGGCAUACAUAUUAUGGAUCUUCUUUACCCCCUCUCCCACCCCCCCCCAAAAAAAUAGGCCUAUAUGUAAAUAUGUUACAUGAAUACAGGAGGGUCUAAAAAUAAUUUGCCUAUUAUGAUAAUUUUAAUUUUUUAAUUGUUCAUUCAUGCCACUACUUACUAUUCUGAUUUUAACUUAUGAAAAUUACCAUGCAUUGUAUUAUUUCAGAUAAGUGUACUACAUGUACAGUUAUGAUACUCGAUAUGUCUUCCCACUACAGUAGAAUUUCCAACAGUUGGCAAAGCAAAACCCAUUUACUCUAGAAUUCUACUAUUUCACACAAAAAAGAGAGAAGCGGAUCACAAUACAACUCCACUUUUGAUUACCAUAAAUCAUGCUUCAUUAUAGAAACCACAAAACCAGACCAUAUUAUGACUCAUUGGUGAUUGCCUAUUAAAUUUCACUUUUCCAUCUCUGCCAUUUCUCUGUAUUCAUAUUUUUGGACUACCUUUGAAUACCCUCACAAUGCUCCUCUGUAAUGACUUGUUAAACUUCACUUUUCCAAUUUUAGUCGCUUUCGCUCUCCAAUGUUUUGGCAACAAGGUUCUUCUUCAUGUAUUCAUCCUUUGAAAUGAUAAAGGGGCCAAUAAUUGGAUGAUGAUGAAGGCCAAAACCAAUGUACAGUUCAAAAACACAUUAUCGUGAUGAUAAUAAUCAUAUUGCAUUUCUUUAUUUCGGUCAAUUAUGUAUUGUAUCACUAUUCACUACCUGUACAGUACCCAUAAGCCUCUGAGUCACACCAUUCAUAAUUCUUUUUUCUUGCUAAUGCAUAUAUGAUAACACAUUGAAUAACAUAUUCUAUGAUUCACCUUCAGAUAAUAUCUUCACAUGAUUUCCACUAGAAUAAUUUCCAGUCUCCAAGAAGAAAAUCAUAUCAUAUCAUAUUUUUAUGAUCUGCCCUAGUAAUGAUAUCCACCUUUAAAUAGAAGGAUUUAAGCUUGGCAGCACCAAUCAAUGAGUCAUCUUGGGUAUGACCGUGCUUCCCCGCGACCAUCCCUCCACGUGUGUAUGAGUUAGCAUUGGUCCACAUACUAAGAGAAUCUCAUUAUAACGAUGUGUCGACUCAUUUGUACUGUUCACACGUAAAGUGCAGUGACGUGUUUGUAUGACUACUGCUUGGGGAUUAGCACCUACAAAAAGCUGUAAAUUGAAAUGAUGACAACGGGGCCUAACAUGCAUUAGACUCUCUGUUUUUAAGAACAGCUACACUGUACAUGCUUACUGCUACUGUUCCUCUCAUAUUGAUUGAAUUAUUAAUGUAAUUUUGCAUUCCUGCAUGUUUAGUUCUUAGAAAAAUGAAUAUUAGAUUAAUGAACCAAAUAAAAUAUUAGAAGUCUAAAAUUGCACAUGGGUCUGGAGUGUAAAUGAUGUAAUAUCAUAAUAUGGUCCGUUUUUUUUCACUGAAUGUAGGAAGUUAUUAUUAGAUUAAUGAUGAUAAUAAUAAUCAUUUUAUAUACCGCAAAUUGCAAAUUGCCUCUAAGCGGUUAAGAGAAAGGAAAUAUGAAGUGAUAAAGAAAUUUACAUGUAAAUACUUUGCACCACAAAAUGUAUAAAAAACUAAUAUUACAAAUAACUAGUCCUCACCAGAUCAUGAAUAAGGAAAUUAAUGCCAUUCCAUUAGACAUUUGUCUGCUAGGUGUGAUAAACGAAGAAACCUAAAGUAAAAAAAUUAAGCAAGAUUUUUAAAUUUUAUAAAAUUUGAAUGGAGAAAGAACUUUGGUAAAAGUCUUUAGAAGUAGAAUAUGCCCUUGUUGACACAAGGAAAAGCUUCAAAGUUCACACGUUUUCUGAUAUCUUUCACAGUUUACAGGAAUGGAAAGGGAGAAAUAAACAGUUUUAUUCUUCGUAGUGUUUUUAAAUGACCAUCUGGAUGAAAUAUCUUCCAGCUACACAUUUUGCACCCAUUUCCUUUUAAAAAAAUAACUAACUUUAUUUUCCUAUCUCUCUCUGUCUGUCUUUCUUUGCUAAGUAAAAAAUGGAUAGAAAUUGGCAUUUGAAUAAUAUUCUAGAAGUUUGAAAGUAAUUGCUCAUCAACAAAAUGAACAAACUUUUAAGAUACAUACCUAAGUGACUUUAAUGAGACAAGAGAGUUUAGGCCUACUUGUGGUUUUUGACGAAUCCACUUUUCAUGUUAAUAUAGUAAGACAGAUAGUUUGACGAAAUUUUAUGAUAGCAUACAGUCACUGAAAGGCUGACAAUCGUCCAUUUAGUGAAUUGUUUAUAAAAGAAAUAAGGAUAGAUGUGCUUUGGUUUUGUUUAGGUUUCCUUGACAUAGAUCUAUGGCUUUGAGAAUCAUAAAACUUGGCCAUGCAUGUUUAGCUUCUAUGCAUUUUUAAGGUUUUCAUACUGGGGGUGAUGAUAAUCAAACUUUGAAAAUACAGCAAUUUUUGAAAAUCUUUGUAGAAAUUAAUGUCUUUAAGAAACAUAUAUAAUACCCUAGUUAAUUGGUGCGGACUACAUAGGUGAUCUAGUUUUUUGAAAAAUGAAUCAAUGAAAUGUCGAGGACCAGAACUGUUUUAAGGACGUCCCAGUUUACACUACAGAAAUACCCAACCUCAUAGUAAUUAUUAAUAAACAGGAUUCUCAAAUCGUUCACAGACUCUGCAGUCAAAUACCCCUUGUCCCCCCCCCCCCCCCCGAGCUGUGGCAUUGCACUAUGAACAUCAAAUUCCAUUACUGAUGUUUUGUUCAGUGUUACACUUUAAAAAUUUUCUCUGUUCAUCCAAAUCAACUUUAUUUUAGAGUGGACUUUUGGAUAUUACUCAAUUUGUCUGCUAUCUUGACAAGUAGUUGGAAGAUAUUGGAUCUCCAAUACAACUAACAUUAUAUUCUAUAAAGGGUGAUUUUCAGCGCAAAGUAGGGUAAUGAGGGUCAGAGUUUUAGUGAUUGCUUAUUUAAUAGCCCUGUUUUGAAUAGGAUUGGGGAUAAUCUGUAAUAGGGAUAUGAGGCAUGGAAAUGGAUCUAUAGUGGGUCACCAUUCCUUUAAUGAUCUCAU